GCUGGCGGCACGCCUAACACAUGCAAGUCGAACGAGGUAGCAAUACUUAGUGGCAGACGGGUGAGUAACAUGUAGGUAUCUGCCCUUUGGCCUGGAAUAACACGAGGAAACUUGUGCUAAUACCGGAUAAGUCUUUACGGAGAAAGCUUUAUGCACCAUUGGAUGAGCCUGCACUUGAUUAGUUUGUUGGUGGGGUAAUGGCCUACCAAGACUUUGAUCAAUAGCUGAUUUGAGAGGAUGAUCAGCCACAUUGGGACUGAGACACGGCCCAAACUCCUACGGGAGGCAGCAGUGGGGAAUCUUGCACAAUGGAGGAAACUCUGAUGCAGCGAUGCCGCGUGAGUGAAGAAGGCCCUUGGGUUGUAAAGCUCUUUCGUCGGGGAAGAAAAUGACUGUACCCGAAUAAGAAGGUCCGGCUAACUUCGUGCCAGCAGCCGCGGUAAUACGAAGGGACCUAGCGUAGUUCGGAAUUACUGGGCUUAAAGAGUUCGUAGGUGGUUGAAAUAGUUGGUGGUGAAAUCCCAGAGCUUAACUCUGGAACUGCCAUCAAAACUUUUCAGCUAGAGUAUGAUAGAGGAAAGCAGAAUUUCUAGUGUAGAGGUGAAAUUCGUAGAUAUUAGAAAGAAUACCAAUUGCGAAGGCAGCUUUCUGGAUCAUUACUGACACUGAGGAACGAAAGCAUGGGUAGCGAAGAGGAUUAGAUACCCUCGUAGUCCAUGCCGUAAACGAUGUGUGUUAGACGUUGGAAAUUUAUUUUCAGUGUCGCAGCGAAAGCGAUAAACACACCGCCUGGGGAGUACG
rnacentral:rRNA from 1 species